rnacentral:tRNA from 1 species
GGCCUGAUAGCUCAACUGGUGGAGCGCUGCACCAGCAUUGCAAAGAGCAGGGUUUGAAUCCCCAUUCAGGCCU